UACGAAGGGGGCUAGCGUUGCUCGGAAUCACUGGGCGUAAAGCGCACGUAGGCGGAUUGUUAAGUCAGGGGUGAAAUCCUGGAGCUCAACUCCAGAACUGCCUUUGAUACUGGAGACUCGUAGUCGGGAGAGGUGAGUGGAACUGCGAGUGUAGAGGUGAAAUUCGUAGAUAUUCGCAAGAACACCAGUGGCGAAGGCGGCUCACUGGCCCGGUACUGACGCUGAGGUGCGAAAGCGUGGGGAGCAAACGGGG
rnacentral:rRNA from 1 species